rnacentral:rRNA from 1 species
GACGGAGGAGGCAAGCGUUAUCCGGAAUGAUUGGGCGUAAAGCGUCCGCAGGUGGCAAUGUAAGUCUGCUGUUAAAGAGUCUAGCUCAACUAGAUAAGAGCAGUGGAAACUACAUAGCUAGAGUACGUUCGGGGCAGAGGGAAUUCCUGGUGUAGCGGUGAAAUGCGUAGAGAUCAGGAAGAACACCAGUGGCGAAGGCGCUCUGCUAGGCCGUAACUGACACUGAGGGACGAAAGCUAGGGGAGCGAAUGGG